rnacentral:rRNA from 1 species
UAGGGAAUCUUCGGCAAUGGACGAAAGUCUGACCGAGCAACGCCGCGUGAGUGAAGAAGGUUUUCGGAUCGUAAAACUCUGUUGUUAGAGAAGAACAAGGACGUUAGUAACUGAACGUCCCCUGACGGUAUCUAACCAGAAAGCCACGGCUAACUACGUGCCAGCAGCCGCGGUAAUACGUAGGUGGCAAGCGUUGUCCGGAUUUAUUGGGCGUAAAGCGAGCGCAGGCGGUUUCUUAAGUCUGAUGUGAAAGCCCCCAGCUCAACCGGGGAGGGUCAUUGGAAACUGGGAGACUUGAGUGCAGAAGAGGGGAGUGGAAUUCCAUGUGUGGCGAUGAAAUGCGUAGAUAUAUGGAGGAACACCAGUGGCGAAGGCGGCUCUCUGGUCUGUAACUGACGCUGAAGCUCGAAAGCGUGGGGAGCAAACAGG